rnacentral:rRNA from 1 species
UGGGGAAUAUUGCGCAAUGGCCGAAAGGCUGACGCAGCGACGCCGCGUGGGGGAUGAAGCAUUUCGGUGUGUAAACCCCUGUUGCCCGGGACGAACAAGCAGAUUUUUCUGCUCUGACGGUACCGGGUGAGGAAGCACCGGCUAACUCCGUGCCAGCAGCCGCGGUAAUACGGAGGGUGCGAGCGUUGUCCGGAAUCACUGGGCGUAAAGGGCGCGUAGGCGGUCUGCUAAGCGUGCGGUGAAAGCCCGGGGCUCAACCCCGGGUCUGCCGUGCGAAUUGGUGGACUAGAGCACUGUAGAGGCAGGUGGAAUUCCGGGUGUAGCGGUGGAAUGCGUAGAGAUCCGGAAGAACACCGGUGGCGAAGGCGGCCUGCUGGGCAGUAGCUGACGCUGAGGCGCGAAAGCGUGGGGAGCAAACA